UUUGCCAUGAGUUAGAUCCACACUUUGUUAGCUUUCACAUUGAACAUUUGAACACAACAAAAAAAACAGCACCGUGCAUUGACAUUUGUGUACCGUUGUAUUCAACUGAGUGGAAUGUACCGUUGAUUGAAUCUAUUGGACGGCUUGUGCCAUGGAUGAUGGCAGGUAUAAGAGCACUGUCAUAACAAUAAGGAGUUAUUCAUACAAAACAGUGGACCGUGAGGAUCGUGUUUUUAUUUUAGAUGGACAGUCGAGAGGAUUAUAAAAGAAAUAUGGCCGAGUGUCAAGAUAGAGCUAUAAACCACACCCAUAAAACAGUUCAUAAAAAACAUGAAUCCGAGGGUCAUGUUCAUUUCUCAGCGGAACAAC